UAGUAUUAUUUUCAGCUUUUAUAAUAUUGGGCCCGUGCUGGCCCGGGCUAACACUAUCUAGUGUUAAUAAUAAAGAAUAGUAAUACAUAAAUAAAACUCCUCUAAACUUGAUUCAGUUUACAACUUUGUACAACUUAGAUGUGCUAUAUAAUAUCCCACCCACCUAUGUAUUUGAGUAGAUAGAUAGAAGUAUUCUUGCGUAGUUGUGAUGCUGAUUCAUUCAAACCUGCAUUAAGGCUACAAUUUACUCAUCAUUUAAUCAAAUGAACUUACUAUAAGAUUUUGUGAAAAUAUUAGUAAGUUGUAAACGUAAAUUUUAAUUUCAAUAACAUUAAUUGUUGUUAAGCAAAAAUAUAGAUGUGUGCUAAAAGGGAAUUACCAUUGAGACUUCAAGCUAUAAUUUGAUGAGCGUCUCGUCUUGUAAUUGAUUUGAGGAUCUCAAAACCUCUUUAAAAAUGGCGCCAAUACUUAUAAUUACCACACUUAUAACACUUGCUGCAUUUCCUUUUUCGGCUUUUCAGUUCAUUCAUAAGUACAAUGAACCUACAAAUUUAUAACAUAAGUACAAUGCAAAAGGAAAGAAAGAGAAGCAAAGAGAAGGGAAUAUUAAGGUAAAAAACAAAGUCAUAACUUUGCAGAAUACCUGUAUAAAUUUAUUUUUUAGGGCAUCUAAAUUCAGUCUCACUAAGUCAAUACAUGCCUCCAAGCUUCAAGCUGAUGACAUCCAGCCUCUGCACAAUCCCACUAUAUUUCGUCAUUUAGUUGGAAAGCUAAACUAUUUAACUAAUAUUAGACCUGUUCUUUCAUUUGCUGUACUCACCCUCAGUCAAUACAUGCAGAAGCCUUGUGUUUCUCAUUUUACUGCUGCUCUACGAGUACUCAAAUACCUCAGCUCCAAUCCCGGUCAAGGUAUUCUUCUUUCAGCUGAACAAUCUUUUUCUUCGCUGGUAUUCUGUGAUGCUGAUUGGGCAUCUUGCAAAGAUUCAACAAAAUCCGUCAGUGGUUUUUUCAUAACUCUUGGAGGAGCUCCUAUUUCAUGGAAAUCAAAGAAACAAGUAUCAAUUUCUUUGUCUUCAGCAGAAGCAGAAUAUAGAUCUAUGAGAAGGGUUACUGCAGAACUUACAUGGUUAGUGUGUUUGCUUAAGGACCUCUCUGCCCCAAUUACUUUGCCUACUCCUCUCCAUUCUGAUAGCAAACCAGCCAUCCACAUCGCUCGUAACCUCGUUUUUCACGAAUGCACAAAACAUGUUGAAAUUGACUGUCAUUGUGUGCGACAGUAGUUUCUCUCAGGCUUAAUCACUCUUUCUUUUGUCCCAUCUAAAGCUCAACUCGCAGAUCUCUUCACAAAAACCUUAUUUGGGGUUUCUCAUCAGGAAAUUUUGGGCAAGGUAGGGCUCACACAGUUCCCCUCUAACUUGAGGAGGGAUGUUGGGAGGAAGAAACUUCAUAACUCUACCUCUCAUAGCUCCCAUGGAGUUUCAACUACAAUUGAUGAAGAGAAAAUGACGAAGAAGACGAAGACCUAAACCUAAAGAGAAGACCAAGUUUCGG
rnacentral:lncRNA from 1 species